CAGAACAUAGAUUUAGUUGGGGUUAUUUUUCCUGUGUAUGCAGGCACAUACAGUAAUGCAUUUUAGAUGCAUGUUCUUAUGCAGCUGGCUUUGAGCUUCUUUGGUCUUUGGUGAACAGGGACAAGGAAGCAAUUUUGCCUCUGCAGUUCUAUGCAGGCACAGGUGUAUUUUUAGGCCAUUUGACAAUGAGUAACACACUUUCCUUUCAGACGUUUUCUGGGUGGGGACUGGAACCCAGAGGUUUGCAAUGAAUGGACAGAGGCAAAUGCUCAGAGAAAUCCAUGGGCUUGCAGUACGUGUGCUGCUGCUGCUGCCAAUGCUGCCCGCCUGAUGCCGGCGAGCUUGCUGCUGCCCCCGGCGGCGGGCUGCCCGGCGCUGGCGGAGCCCCGGCUCCUCGGGAAUGCUGGGAAUGUUGAGUCAGGGACUGGCAGCCCAGGGAGGCAAGGCUCGCAGCUGGCUGAGAGAGACUCGCUGAGGGGAGACUCGCUGAGGGACGGAAAGACAAGGGACAGGAGCACACAAGCCUCUCCCGGCUGCAGCAGGUCCCCUCUUCCUCCCCUCGCGGGUGUUCGGUUGCUCCGGCUCGCCCUGCUGCCUCCUUCCUCCGAGCAAAUGAGGUGUCAGCUAAACGUGAUGUUGUAAAAUCCAUGUGAGGACGAGACACAGAGGCAAUGAUUUGAAAGGUCUCUGACUUCGGAGGAACAACAGAUUUUUGUCUACUGGAAGAAUGCAGUGAAACUGCCAACAUUUCUAGCUGGAAUUAUAAAUUUAAUAUUCAACUUUAGUGUUACUAAUUUCUUACUAAAUAGUACCUCAAAGUAGAAGAAAAAUGUAUGGAAGUGCAAGAACAAUCAGCAACUUAGAAGGAAGUCCCUCUAGGUCUCCUCGUUUGCCAAGAUCCCCUCGCCUGGGCCAUAGGCGAACAAGUAGUGGAGGAGGAGGAGGAACAGGUAAGACGUUAUCAAUGGAAAACAUCCAGUCCCUUAAUGCAGCCUAUGCAACAUCUGGACCAAUGUAUCUGAGUGACCAUGAAGGUGUAGCUUCUACUACUUUCCCAAAGGGCACAAUGACUCUUGGAAGGGCUACAAAUCGAGCUAUGUAUGGUGGUCGAGUCACAGCUAUGGGGAGCAGUCCUAAUAUUGCUUCAGCUGGACUUUCACACACAGAUGUCCUUUCUUAUACUGAUCAGCAUGGAGGUCUGACCACAUCUUCACACCAUCACCACCAUCAGGUUCCUUCUAUGUUGAGACAGGUUAGGGAUAGUACCAUGUUAGAUUUGCAGGCUCAGCUUAAGGAACUACAGAGGGAGAAUGAUCUUCUCAGAAAAGAACUAGACAUUAAGGACAGCAAAUUGGGAUCCUCCAUGAAUAGCAUCAAAACUUUCUGGAGUCCUGAGCUGAAGAAAGAAAGAGUACUGAGAAAAGAAGAAGCAGCCAGAAUGUCAGUUCUUAAAGAACAAAUGAGAGUUUCCCAUGAAGAAAAUCAGUUUUUGGAUGCCAGGAGAACAAAGCAUCUGCAAAUGACAAUCCAGGCACUUCAAGAUGAGCUUAGAACCCAGAGAGACCUUAACCAUCUUCUCCAGCAGGAAAGUGGAAACCGGGGAGCUGAGCAUUUUACCAUUGAACUCACAGAGGAGAAUUUUCGAAGACUUCAAGCAGAACAUGAUAGACAAGCUAAAGAGCUAUUCCUGUUGAGAAAAACACUAGAAGAAAUGGAGCUUAGGAUUGAAACACAAAAGCAAACACUAAAUGCCAGAGAUGAGUCAAUAAAGAAGCUUCUGGAAAUGCUGCAAAGUAAAGGUUUGCCGUCUAAAGGAAUGGAAGACGACAACGAGAGAACUCGAAGGAUGGCAGAGGCUGAAUCUCAGGUUAAUCAUUUAGAAGUUAUUUUAGAUCAGAAGGAAAAAGAAAACAUGCAUCUUAGAGAGGAGUUGCACAGAAGAACCCAGCUUCAGCCUGAGCCAGCAAAGACGAAGGCUCUUCAAACAGUUAUUGAAAUGAAGGAUACAAAAAUAGCUUCACUUGAGCGCAAUAUAAGAGAUCUUGAAGAUGAAAUACAAAUGUUAAAGACUAAUGGAGUUCUGAAUACGGAGGACCGAGAAGAAGAAAUCAAACAAAUAGAAGUUUACAAGAGUCACUCUAAGUUCAUGAAAAAUAAGAUUGAUCAAUUGAAACAAGAACUCUCAAAGAAAGAAUCAGAACUUCUUGCCUUACAAACUAAGCUUGAAACCCUUAGCAAUCAGAAUUCAGAUUGCAAGCAACACAUUGAAGUGCUUAAAGAGUCACUUACUGCCAAAGAACAGAGAGCUGCCAUACUUCAGACAGAGGUUGAUGCCUUGCGAUUACGAUUGGAAGAAAAAGAAACCUUUCUGAAUAAAAAAACAAAACAACUACAAGACCUCACAGAAGAGAAAGGAACCCUGGCUGGAGAGAUUAGAGAUAUGAAAGACAUGUUGGAAGUAAAAGAAAGAAAAAUUAAUGUCCUUCAGAAAAAGAUUGAAAAUCUACAGGAGCAACUUAGGGACAAAGACAAACAACUAACUAAUCUAAAAGACAGAGUGAAGUCAUUGCAGACGGAUUCUAGUAACACAGACACAGCACUAGCAACCUUAGAAGAAGCUCUCUCAGAAAAGGAAAGAAUAAUAGAGCGCUUGAAGGAGCAAAGAGAGCGAGAUGACAGAGAAAGACUUGAAGAAAUUGAAUCUUAUAAAAAAGAAAACAAAGACCUGAAGGAGAAAGUUAAUGCUUUACAAGCUGAACUGACGGAAAAAGAGUCUAGUUUAAUCGAUCUCAAAGAACAUGCAUCUUCAUUGGCAUCAGCAGGGCUGAAAAGAGACUCCAAACUUAAGUCUUUAGAAAUAGCCAUAGAACAAAAGAAAGAAGAGUGUAGUAAGUUGGAAGCACAGUUGAAAAAGCAAGCUGAACAGUUGUUCAAUCAGAUGUACAAUCCAAUGCCAAUUAGGAAUAAUGGGAAGCAAGGGGCUCAUGAGGCUGAAGAGGAGGCACGGAUGAAUCCAGAAUUUGCAGACAGAAUGAAACAGCUUGACAAAGAAGCAUCAUACUAUAGAGAAGAAUGUGGCAAAGCUCAGGCUGAGGUUGACAGACUUCUAGAAAUACUCAAGGAAGUAGAGAAUGAGAAGAACGACAAAGAUAAGAAAAUUGCUGAGUUAGAAAGCUUAACUUCCAGACAUAUGAAGGACCAGAACAAGAAGGUUGCCAAUCUGAAGCACAAUCAGCAAAUGGAAAAAAAGAAGAAUGCACAGUUGUUGGAAGAAGUUCGUAGGCGAGAGGACAAUAUGACUGACAAUGCUCAACAUUUACAAGUAGAAGAGCUGAUGAAUGCACUGGAAAAGACUAGACAAGAAUUAGAUUCUACCAAAGCACGUCUUGCCUCAACACAGCAGUCUUUGGCUGAAAAAGAAGCACAUCUGGCUAACCUGAGAAUAGAGCGAAGAAAACAGCUUGAAGAAAUUUUAGAAAUGAAACAGGAAGCUUUGCUUGCUGCAAUUAGUGAAAAAGAUGCAAACAUUGCCUUGCUUGAACUGUCUGCUUCAAAGAAAAAGAAGACUCAAGAGGAAGUAAUGGCUCUUAAACGAGAGAAGGACAGAUUAGUACAUCAGUUAAAACAGCAGACACAAAACAGGAUGAAACUGAUGGCAGAUAACUACGAUGAUGACCAUCACCACUACCACCACCAUCACCACCACCACCAUCAUCGAUCUCCUGGGAGGCCACAACACUCCAACCACAGACCCUCUCCAGAUCAGAUGAUCCAGUCACUGUUGGAGGCACAUAGCCACGGCAAAAUCUCAUGCUGUACAUUGAUCACCUGUCCAACCUUUGCCUAGAGUGUGAUCCCCAGUUCCUUCAAGAGAUCCAUCUUUACCUGUCUAUAAAGAAGAAGAGGAGGGAGACAUCUGGGAUAUUCAAGUAUCAAAGUUUAACACCAGAGCAGUUGUCAGAGGAACUAAUGAAAGAGGAAGAAAAAAAAUGUAGCGCUGGAAGGUAACAAUGAUAAUCUAUUGCACUGGAUCUCCAAAUGUAACCACGAUAUCCAGGAGAAGGAUCACAGAUGCAGAAAAUGAAUGCAGAGGUUGAUAUCUAAUGAAAUGCUGCAUUAAUUGGCAUUUUCUCCGUUAUUUCUUGUAGUCUACUAUGAAAUUAGAUACUUUGGAAAACAACAAAGGUGACUCAAGCAGGAAUCAUAAGAGCUUCAUUUCUGUCUUUAAUGGGUCUUGCAAGUUAUUUUGUUUUUACAAAAGAAACCAUCUGUUCAGAGUACUAUAGUUUAAUGAAGUUCAGUUAAACAGGUUAUUUAACUAAUUUUUUGUAAAUUUAUAUUGAUUUUAAUAAGUAAUUCCGAUUCUCUUAAAUGUAGUAUCUGCAUUUGCUGAUUCUAAAGUAUCAGUUCUGUUGCACUAGAUUAUCGAAGAGGUAUUAGUAAAAUGCUGUAUGAGGGUGUUGGCAUUAAUCUUACCCCCAGUUAGAUGCGGGCUUUUCCAAAAAAUAAACUCCAAGCCUUUGCCCUCCUCUGUUUUCUUAGAUCUACUGAUAAAAUAAUAAUAGUAACCCAAAAAAACCCAAAACCAACCAACCAAAAAAACCAAACCAAAACCCAAAACACAUCGAUAGUAUAACCGGUAUUAAGCUCUGGGCCAGGUUGGAAAUGAAAUCAAUUUUUGGUACUAAUAACUGAUAACAAAGAUAACUUUAUGAAAAUAUGGUGUGUGUCUCUGACAAUGCAUAGGACAUCUAAUUUGAUCAUAAGAUUAUAUACAAGAUGUAUCUAUUCCUGGAUGGUAAAAGCUUGAGGCAUAUAUAAAUACAUAUGAAUGUAUAUAUAUGGACAUAGACACAAGGAUGUAUCAACCUUUUACCAUCCAAAUGCAUACAGGUUUUCAACAAUAAAAGCUGGGACUCUUAAAAAAAAAAAAAAAGAAAAAAAAACCAAAAUAACAAAAAUAAAGAUAAGAUUGCUGUGAAUACAGUAUAUGCACUAGGUCUCCUGUAAAUGAGCAACUGUUUGUUAUUGUUUUCUACAUUGAAAACCAGUCUCCAACAUGGAUCCCAAUGAAUCUUAGAUGUUAAAGAAACUACCAAUGAACAAAUAGCAUUUAAAGGCUGUUUGUAUCAAAAAAUAAUAAUAAAAAAAUUAAAAAAAUGUAUCUAGUAAAAUAAAUGUAAAGCACAUGCAAGGAAAAACAAAACAUGCGAAGUCAUUACAUUGAGUGAGAGAUUAUAACUGACACUCAAAUCUCUACCACUUCUCAAGGAGAGGAUCCUAAUGACUCCAUGAACAUUUUCAGUCAGUCUAGCAAACGUGCACGUUUGCUGUUUUAUUGAGGUAUCUUUGUGUCCAUGGAAGAAAUGUUUCCAUGCUGAUGGGAGUGGGAAUUGAAUAUCUGCAUUUUUAAAGGACAAACAAUAAAUUUAAGCAUGGGUGGCCUUAAUCCUUAGUAGUUUUUCUUUGCUGCUGUAAACAAGAGAAAUCUAAAUGGAUACUCCGAAAGUCUUGCACUGAAUUUAGAAAAAUUAUUUUUUGAACCUGUGGUGCAAUUAUCCCUAAACAUCCUACAUGAGCCAUACAUAGUAACCCCUUUCAAAUUAUUGUCUAGAGAUGAUAUUUUAUUUAGUUGUACCAUAAUUCUCAGUGCAAUCAAAGAGCAAUUCAUUCAAGCAGGAGUCUUGCUGGAUGCUACUGUCUUCAGUAAAUAGAGUAAAAUGCAUAGAAUUAGUAUAGCGUAGAUAAUUCCAAUUUCAUUCAUGUUUAAAAAGUUUGUCCUUUAACUAUCAAUGGCAUUUUAGAUCUUUGUUUUUGAAACAGCAAAGCUUUUGGGAGUUUAUUUAGCACACAUGACAAAUGUUGCACUUGGAAACUCAGACAACAAAACUAGUUUCUCAUGACAAAUUUGUUGUCAUAGUAGGGGACAGUCGGUGGUGUCUCUUACAAUCAGGUCUCUACCUUAACUCUGCAACUGAAUACUUGAAGUAGGAAAUAAACUAGGGGGGAGUAGGGUCACAGGUACAAAGCUGUAUAGCUAGAUAUUUAUAUGUAUGUGCCAAUUUUGUCACAGGUAUUAUUUUAGGGGCAUUUUUGCUCCACUCAUGUUGGUAAGAGUAUUGAUCUAAACUUUUAUCAGGGCCUACAAGUUAGCCCCUAAAGAGGAAGACUUUGUCUAACAUAGCUUUUUUUUCUUUUCUUCUUUUUUUUUUUUUUUUUCCUUUUUCCCUUUUCAUUUCAUGUGAUAACUCUGUGCUGUUUGGAAAAAAUCUUUUCAUAUACUAAAAUAGAAUCUCGGGGUUUACAAUAAACACUGUGACGUUGGGAAAUAUUUUAUUUGAGCAAUGUUUGGUAGGUUCCCCCCUUCCCCCUCUAAGUGUAAAGAAGCAAACCAACUUUUGGUUAACAUUUAAAAUUGUUAUUAUUAUUUUAAUGUGAGAUCAGUCUUGUACUACACAUUCUUUAUUAUUUCAUUUAAAUGUACAGUAUGAAUUUUGUAUUUAAUGGAUUUUGUGUAUCCAGUAUGCACGUACCUGCACAUUGACUUUCAUUUGAAAGUGGGUUUCAAUUUACUUUUUAAACAGUGUUUAUGAAAAGACCUCAGAUGUGUUGACACAAACUAUAUCUGCAAUGUUUUUGUGUGUGUAGGGUGACGUUUGAAUGUGAUGUUCUGCAGCAAUGGGUCAGUAUUCCCUAUUUACCUUAGAUCCUCAUUUGAUAGCGCUUCUUGUAAUAAUUUUUUGAAGUGAGUGGCAUGUUCUGGAUUGUGAUAUUGAUAUAUGGUUAAGGACAUUGAUAUGAAACUAAGGAAUUCCUAGAAAUUACCAGUGGGCAUGUAUUAGACAGUCAUUGUAAUUUAAUGUCUAGUAGAAGUGUAAAGUACCAAGGUAUUUAGAGUUCAUAACAUUGUUAUCAUGUGUAUGGGAAGUAUUUAGUGUUGAUCAGCUUGUUUAUAUUCAUCAAAUAAACUUGGUUUCUUUCUGAAA